rnacentral:lncRNA from 10 species
AUUGCUCACCCACUGAACCCAAAACAAACCAGAAGUGCUUAAAAUGAGGACGGGUAGCUCCGUGUACCAAUCAGAAUUUAAAACUGUAUCAAUUCCUGCUAUAGAAAGAGGCUUCUCCCCAGGACCAGGAUUCCACGAAGGCAGCCCUUUUCUAGAUGGAGAAAAUAGAACCUGAAGGCAGCCGUUUCCCUAAACUGCUCUCGCUCAUGUGAUCCUGUGCACUUUAUUCUUCCCUACCAGCCUCAGAAGCCACGUGCUGAAGACAGUGAAGUUCUGUCUGGGAAGAAGCAUCGAUCCCUAAAUGACUGCAUGGAGCAGAGCAGAGGGACUUCUGGGAUCUUGCUGGCUUCCAUGAACCUCAGGGAUUUCCAUGCAGGAGUAGAAGAUAAUAGGCAUGUGGCUGCAUGGUGCCUCAGAGCUCAGGUUCAGGAGCCAGAUAUGCCUGCAUUGAAGUCAUUUCUGACCUUCACUGUGGUCUUGGAUGUGGUCUCUUCUUGUUUUGUUACUGAUGCAGAGAUGGAGGCCCCUGGGUGGUGACUGGUAUCUGAAGAAGAGAGAAUGAAGGGGAUGUCUGCUCACUAAGUUGGUUCGAAGCUGAGGAGGAAAAAAAUUAGGUGCUAGGAUGCUGGAGAGAUCCUCAGAAACCCCUCUACAUGAAUCAUUUAAGUAGAUGAAGAGCUAGAUUGCAAUAAUCAUUGGGAGGAGAAGAAGAAUAAAACAUGAGAUUCCAUUCACAUCCCAGAAUUAAAGGUACUGUCGUGAUGCCCAUUUUACAGAUGAAGAAACUGAGGUUUCCAGAGGUCCAGUCCCUGCCUGAGCUGAUGCAGUUACGAAGGCUGAAGCCCGGACUUGAUUUGAGUUCGGCCUGCGGAGCCCCGGCUGAGCUACCUGCCUUCUAGCCCCACGGUGGAAAGGGAGAAUCCAGACAUCCUUGAGACCUACCCAAGGAGUUUCCCUGUUACUGCCCUGCCAUCCUUCUGAUGCCACCCUGUUCCGUAUCUGGCUGGAGCCAGCGUGGUUGUGUCUGGGUUUGGCUCCAUAGUAGAUGUUCUCGGUGGCCUUACUAUUCCUGUGCACGCCGGCCACUUUUGCCUGAAGCUCUCUGUGGCUGCCAAUGCCCACUUUGUUGAAAGUACUUGGAAAUUAAGACCCUCUAGGGAGUAUCUCUGAGUUGUGCCUGGUGAGAUUUCAUGAAGGAAUGGCCCAGCUCCUGCAGACCUAGGCGGGAUGUCUGAGGUGCACCUUCUACACGCUCUUUCAGUUGGAUUAAGUCCUAGGAUGCCCACAGGGGUCACUGAGAGGUUAACAAACAUUUUUUUUUUUUUUUUUUUUGAGAUGGAGUCUUGCUCUGUCACCCAGGCUGGAGUGCAGUGGCCUGAUCUCAGCUCACUGCAAGCUCCACCUCCCAGGUUCAUGCUAUUUUCCUGCCUCAGCCUCCUGAGUAGCUGGGAUUACAGGCGCCCGCCACCACGACCGGCUAAUUUUUUGUAUUUUUAGUACAGACCAGGUUUCACCGUGUUAGCCAGGAUGGUCUCGAUCUCUUGACCUUGUGAUCCACCUGCCUCGGCCUCCCAAAGUGUUGGAAUUAUAGGCUUGAGCCACCACGCACAGCUGACAUUUCCACUUUUGUCUUUUGGCCCAGAUGUUGACAUUUUCUGAGCUCCCAAAGAAUUUACAGACAUUUUUCCUAGGUCAGAGUAAAAGGGAUCCCCUUUGUUCUGGAUCUUCUGUUGCCUUGAUCAUCAGAUCAAGUUGAGGAAAUGGUCCCUUGGGAAGCUAAUCCCAGUGGCUUGGUAAACUUACACCCU